GACGAACCGAGCGAACGUUGUUCGGAAUCACUGGGCUUAAAGGGCGCGUAGGCGGGUUCGCAAGUCUGUGGUGAAAUCCUCCGGCUCAACCGGAGAACUGCCUCGGAUACUGCGGGUCUCGAGGGUGAUAGGGGUAUGCGGAACUAUCGGUGGAGCGGUGAAAUGCGUUGAUAUCGAUAGGAACUCCGGUGGCGAAGGCGGCAUACUGGAUCACUUCUGACGCUGAGGCGCGAAAGCCAGGGGAGCAAACGGG
rnacentral:rRNA from 2 species